GUGACGUCGGUACAAGGAGAUAUGAACGUUUUAAGGUCGAAAGGUCAGUGGGCUAGGCCCAACUCGGGACCAACCGAAUUGGCCCAAAAAAAAAAUGAAAAGAAAAAUUUAGGCCCAAGUGAGGAGGUGGCCGGCCAUGGUCCUUAAUAAAGGACCCAAGCCCAUUUAAAUUAGUCAUGUGAUUAAUAAUAAAAAGGGGCUAAGUCUUCAUUUUCAAUCAAGAACAUUCAUGAAGCAAAGAAGAGAAAAACAAACACAAAGAAGAGCAAAAAUAAGGCCAUUUCGGGUUUGGCCAUAGAAAAAUCAGCCCUCAAAAUCUUGCCUCUAAAAUUAUUUUCUUGUUUAAUUCCUACUAAAUUAAGUGUCCUCUACAACUUGGUGUAGUUGUUUUGGAAGAAGGAGCACUUAUUUCUUCAAGUUGACAACUUGUUCAAGUGAAGAAGUUUGCAGAAAAAGAUUUCGGGCGAAACGGGAAUUGAAUUCGGAAAGGCGUAAAGACCAUAUAAGGUUUAGACGACAGAUUUGCUGAUCCGCCUGCUUAGGACACCUAUUCUGCUAUCUUGGAGUGCUCUUUUGUCCAGAGCCUAUACCUUGGUACAGUCUGCUGCUGUUGUAUAUAUGUAUGCUAUUCAGAGGUAUGACGGGGCCCUGUCCCGUCUUAUGAUUCUGUUAUGUUCUGUAGAGGUCUGUAGACAUACUUGUGUGGGUUCUGUAUAUGUUUUGGGUUACUAUGAUCUGUGACGGCCUUAUCGGCUUCCACGUGCUAUAUCUGUUCACCUGCAAUAUCUGGUAGCACCAAUUGACUUUUAUAUUGAUAUAUUCUGCAAAUAUGCUCGUUUGGGUUAUUGGGUACGUUUGGGUGUCCAGCACGGACACUAGUCACGGCCUACAGGGUUGGGUCAUGACAAAAUAAGUAUUAGAUGUA